rnacentral:rRNA from 1 species
UACGUAGGGUGCAAGCGUUGUCCGGAAUUAUUGGGCGUAAAGAGCUCGUAGGCGGUUUGUCGCGUCUGCUGUGAAAACUCGGGGCUUAACUCCGGGCCUGCAGUGGGUACGGGCAGACUAGAGUGCGGUAGGGGCAACUGGAAUUCUCGGUGUAGCGGUGAAAUGCGUAGAUAUCGAGAGGAACACCUGCGGCGAAGGCGGGUUGCUGGGCUGACACUGACGCUGAUGCGCGAAAGCCAGGGGAGCGAACGGG